CUGGCUCAGGAUGAACGCUAGCGGCAGGCUAACACAUGCAAGUCGAGGGGCAGCGGGAUGUAGCAAUACAUUGCCGGCGACCGGCGGAUGGGUGCGUAACGCGUAUGCAACCUACCUUAUACAGGGGAAUAACCUUUCGAAAGGGAGACUAACACCCCAUAGUAUUGAUUUAAGGCAUCUUAGAUUAAUUAAAUAUUUAUAGGUAUAAGAUGGGCAUGCGUAUGAUUAGCUAGUUGGUAAGGUAACGGCUUACCAAGGCGACGAUCAUUAGGGGUUCUGAGAGGAAGGUCCCCCCACACUGGUACUGAGACACGGACCAGACUCCUACGGGAGGCAGCAGUGAGGAAUAUUGGUCAAUGGGCGCAAGCCUGAACCAGCCAUGCCGCGUGCAGGAAAGACGGCCUUAUGGGUUGCAAACUGCUUUUACAUAAGACUAACCGUAUAUUUGCGAAUAUACCUGAAUGUAUUAUGAGAAUAAGGAUCGGCUAACUCCGUGCCAGCCGCCGC
rnacentral:rRNA from 1 species